rnacentral:rRNA from 1 species
UGGGGAAUUUUGGACAAUGGGGGAAACCCUGAUCCAGCCAUCCCGCGUGUAUGAUGAAGGCCUUCGGGUUGUAAAGUACUUUUGGCAGAGAAGAAAAGGUACCUCCUAAUACGAGGUACUGCUGACGGUAUCUGCAGAAUAAGCACCGGCUAACUACGUGCCAGCAGCCGCGGUAAUACGUAGGGUGCAAGCGUUAAUCGGAAUUACUGGGCGUAAAGCGUGUGUAGGCGGUUCGGAAAGAAAGAUGUGAAAUCCCAGGGCUCAACCUUGGAACUGCAUUUUUAACUGCCGAGCUAGAGUAUGUCAGAGGGGGGUAGAAUUCCACGUGUAGCAGUGAAAUGCGUAGAUAUGUGGAGGAAUACCGAUGGCGAAGGCAGCC